GUAGGGUUCGGGAAGAACUAUACGUUUUGACCUGUGGAGGGCAGUACGCCAAGUGGCGUCUAAACUCGUAGAUCCUCAAGAAGAAGACUAGUACAUAUAACACGAGGCGAACGCUGACAAGUCCUUUCUGGUCUGAAGCAGCAAAUAACGAUUACGUGUUGAGGAAAAAAUACGGCUGUUUGUUGGUGUUUUCCGAGGACUUCACAAAUUUAUGAUUACGUUGACGGAGGUUUGGACCGCUUUAUCCUUAAUCUUCAUAUUCAGACUUGUUUUCUUUGAACUGCUGUGUCCUAUGAAUUUCAUGUUUGUAUGUUGAGUGUAUUUAAGUCCUAUUAAAAGUUCUUCAUUCAAAUAUUGUGUUUUCAUUUAUCAUGUUUCUGUGGGUGGGGGAAAGUUCCUGACAUGUUA
rnacentral:lncRNA from 1 species